rnacentral:rRNA from 1 species
AGUGAACGCUGGCGGUAUGCCUAACACAUGCAAGUCGAACGGCAGCACAGUAAGAGCUUGCUCUUACGGGUGGCGAGUGGCGGACGGGUGAGGAAUACAUCGGAAUCUACUUUUUCGUGGGGGAUAACGUAGGGAAACGUACGCUAAUACCGCAUACGACCUACGGGUGAAAGCAGGGGAUCUUCUGACCUUGCGCGAUUGAAUGAGCCGAUGUCGGAUUAGCUAGUUGGCGGGGUAAAGGCCCACCAAGGCGACGAUCCGUAGCUGGUCUGAGAGGAUGAUCAGCCACACUGGAACUGAGACACGGUCCAGACUCCUACGGGAGGCAGCAGUGGGGAAUAUUGGACAAUGGGCGCAAGCCUGAUCCAGCCAUACCGCGUGGGUGAAGAAGGCCUUCGGGUUGUAAAGCCCUUUUGUUGGGAGAGAAAAGCAGCAGGUUAAUACCCCGCUGUUCUGACGGUACCCAAAGAAUAAGCACCGGCUAACUUCGUG